rnacentral:rRNA from 1 species
UACAGAGGGGGCAAGCGUUGUUCGGAAUUACUGGGCGUAAAGGGCGCGUAGGCGGCCUGCUAAGUCAGACGUGAAAUCCCUCGGCUUAACCGGGGAACUGCGUCUGAUACUGGAUGGCUUGAGUUCGGGAGAGGGAUGCGGAAUUCCAGGUGUAGCGGUGAAAUGCGUAGAUAUCUGGAGGAACACCGGUGGCGAAGGCGGCAUCCUGGACCGGCACUGACACUGAGGAGCGAAAGCCAGGGGAGCAAACGGG